rnacentral:rRNA from 1 species
AGUGAACGCUGGCGGUAGGCCUAACACAUGCAAGUCGAACGGCAGCACAGGAGAGCUUGCUCUCUGGGUGGCGAGUGGCGGACGGGUGAGGAAUACAUCGGAAUCUACUUUUUCGUGGGGGAUAACGUAGGGAAACUUACGCUAAUACCGCAUACGACCUACGGGUGAAAGCAGGGGAUCUUCGGACCUUGCGCGAUUGAAUGAGCCGAUGACGGAUUAGAUAGUUGGCGGGGUAAAGGCCCACCAAGGCGACGAUCCGUAGCUGGUCUGAGAGGAUGAUCAGCCACACUGGAACUGAGACACGGUCCAGACUCCUACGGGAGGCAGCAGUGGGGAAUAUUGGACAAUGGGCGCAAGCCUGAUCCAGCCAUACCGCGUGGGUGAAGAAGGCCUUCGGGUUGUAAAGCCCUUUUGUUGGGAAAGAAAUCCAGCUGGUUAAUACCCGGUUGGGAUGACGGUACCCAAAGAAUAAGCACCGGCUAACUUCGUGCCAGCCGCCGCAGUAA